rnacentral:lncRNA from 1 species
GCCAGUUAAGCGUUUGGAUCCACAAGUGAGGAGCCUUGAGGAACGAUUACAGUUGGAGAUACAGAUUUAGGAGUUUUAGGCAUACAGGUGGACCUAAAGCCAUGGGACUGCAUAAGGUCACCUAGGGAGAAUGUGUGGCUAGAGAAUGGUACAGGGCACAUCCCUAGAGAGUCCAAUGGAUUAUCAGAGAAGGAGAAACUAGCAGAGAAUAAAGAGAAGGAAAGACAUUGUUCUAAUCAUCAGUUAUCAUAUUGGACUGCAAUAUUCUCAGAAGCUACUGUAAUAUAAAAGGGAAUUUUCAUCCUUUGCAUCUCUGCCAACUUACUUGAGCCUGCUGCGCUUUUCCUGACUACACCUCCUCAUCCAAGCUCCCAGAGUAAUCAACCAUCAGUGAGUCGGAGCGGCUGAGGUGGUGAUGCUCUGUACAGGGAGUGCUUCAUGGACUCUUAGGGGCAAGGCUAGCUCCUGCCCGGGCUAACCAGCUGGACAGAUGUGGGUUUGGGAGAUUUGCCUCACUCUCCCAAUACAGCCAUCUGCCUCCACGGUCUGGGAACAUCGUCUGAAAUCUUCAAAGCACGAACUUUUCAUGGUAGUGGUCAUAUUGUUUUCUUAAUCUACCGCUGUCUGCCUGCCACCCUGCUUUACCGUAAGUGCCUG